UAAAGCCCCAUAAAGUUCUAUUAACUAAUAUUUUGCUUUAGAGUUAUUCAAAUAAGGUACAGCCUAUUUGAACAAGGAAACAACCUAAACUAAUGGGUUAAUUUUUAUUCAGUGUACUAAGUAGGCCUAAAAGCAGCCACCUUCAACAAUAGCGUCAAAGCUCCCUACACAGAUAUAUUUAAUACCACAACCCAAUCUAAACCCUUUAUCUUUAUCAAGUAAUUCCAUAUACCUAUGGAACAUAAAAUGUUAAGACUAGUAACAAGAAGAAAACCCUUCUCUUUAAUGCAAGUGUAAGCCAGAAAGGAUAAACCACUGUCAAUUAACACUAAUAAUUUUUAAUUAGCAACACUACAAGAGAACCCUAAUAAAACUAAUGUUAAACUAACACAAGAGCAUUUCAAGAAAGAUUAAAAGAGAAAGAAGGAACUCGGCAAACAUCAACCCCGCCUGUUUACCAAAAACAUCGCCUCUUGACAAAUAUAAGAGGUCCAGCCUGCCCAGUGACUUAGUUCAACGGCCGCGGUAUCCUAACCGUGCGAAGGUAGCGUAAUCACUUGUUCUUUAAAUGAGGACUAGUAUGAAUGGCACCACGAGGGUUACACUGUCUCCUUUUUUUAAUCAGUGAAACUAAUCUUCCCGUGAAGAAGCGGGAAUUUUUUUAUAAGACGAGAAGACCCUAUGGAGCUUUAAACAAAUUAACACUUGCUGCCCAAAAUAACUUUUUCCAGAAACACACCACACAGCAUAGCACUAUGAUUAAUAGUUUUCGAUUGGGGUGAUCACGGAGUAAAAAAUAACCUCCAUGCUGAAAGGGGGCCCCCCCUGAGCAAAAAGCCACAACUUUAAGCACUAAAAAAUUAACAUUAAUUGACCCAAUAUUUUGAUCAACGAACCAAGUUACCCUAGGGAUAACAGCGCAAUCCACUUCAAGAGCUCCUAUCGACAAGUGGGUUUACGACCUCGAUGUUGGAUCAGGGUAUCCUAGUGGUGCAGCCGCUACUAAUGGUUCGUUUGUUCAACGAUUAAAACCCU
rnacentral:rRNA from 1 species